rnacentral:rRNA from 1 species
GACGAACGCUGGCGGCGUGCCUAAUACAUGCAAGUAGAACGCUGAAGAGAGGAGCUUGCUCUUCUUGGAUGAGUUGCGCACGGGUGAGUAACGCGUAGGUAACCUGCCUGGUAGCGGGGGAUAACUAUUGGAAACGAUAGCUAAUACCGCAUAAAAUGGAUUAUCGCAUGAUAAUCCAUUGAAAGGUGCAAAUGCAUCACUACCAGAUGGACCUGCGUUGUAUUAGCUAGUUGGUGGGGUAACGGCUCACCAAGGCGACGAUACAUAGCCGACCUGAGAGGGUGAUCGGCCACACUGGGACUGAGACACGGGCCAGACUCCUACGGGAGGCAGCAGUAGGGAUACGUCGGCAAUGGACGGAAGUCUGACCGAGAAACGCCGAGUGAGUGAAGAAGGGUUUCGGAUCGUAAAGCUCGGUUGUAAGAGAAGAAAGAGUGUGAGAGUGGAAAGUUCACACUGUGACGGUAUCUUACCAGAAAGGGACGGCUAACUACGUG